UACGAAGGGUGCAAGCGUUACUCGGAAUUACUGGGCGUAAAGCGUGAGUAGGUGGUUUCUUAAGUCUGCUGUGAAAGCCCCGGGCUCAACCUGGGAAUUGCAGUGGAUACUGGGGAGCUAGAGUGCGGUAGAGGGUAGUGGAAUUCCCGGUGUAGCGGUGAAAUGCGUAGAGAUCGGGAAGAACACCAGUGGCGAAGGCGGCUACCUGGACCAGCACUGACACUGAGUCACGAAAGCGUGGGGAGCAAACAGG
rnacentral:rRNA from 1 species